UACAGAGGGUGCAAUCGUUGUUCGGAAUUAUUGGGCGUAAAGGGCGCGUAGGCGGUGCGGUAAGUCUGUAGUGAAAUCUCCCGGCUCAACUGGGAGGGUGCGCCGAAUACUGAGCGACUAGAGUGCGGGAGAGGAAAGUGGAAUUCCUGGUGUAGCGGUGAAAUGCGUAGAUAUCAGGAGGAACACCGGUGGUGUAGACGGCUUUCUGGACCGUAACUGACGCUGAGACACGAAAGCGUGGGUAGCAAACAGG
rnacentral:rRNA from 1 species